rnacentral:rRNA from 2 species
AAAAUGAGAGUUUGAUCCUGGCUCAGGAUAAACGCUAUCUGUGUGCUUAAUACAUGCAUGUUGAACGGAAUAUGUUAGCUUGCUAAUAUAUUUAGUAGCAAAUGGGUGAGUAACACGUACCUAACCUACCUUUUGGACCGGGAUAACUAUUGGAAACAGCAGCUAAUACCGGAUAAAAUAAAAAAUGCAUGUUUUUUUAUUAAAAGGAGCCUUUAAAGCUCCACCAGAAAAUGGGGGUGCGCAACAUUAGUUAGUUGGUAGGGUAAAGGCCUACCAAGACGAUGAUGUUUAGCGGGGCCAAGAGGCUGUACCGCCACACUGGGAUUGAGAUACGGCCCAGACUCCUACGGGAGGCAGCAGUAAGGAAUAUUCCACAAUGAGCGAAAGCUUGAUGGAGCGACACAGAGUGCAGGAUGAAGUCUUUAGGGAUGUAAACUGCUGUUGUAAGGGAAGAAAAAACUAGAUAGGAAAUGAUUUAGUCUUGACGGUACCUUAUUAGAAAGUGACGGCAAACUAUGUGCCAGCAGCCGCGGUAAUACAUAGGUCGCAAGCGUUAUCCGGAAUUAUUGGGCGUAAAGCGUCCGCAGGUGUUUUGUUAAGUUUAAGGUUAAAUGCUAAAGCUCAACUUUAGUUCGCUUUAGAUACUGACAAAAUAGAAUUAUGAAGAGGUUAGCGGAAUUCCUAGUGGAGCGGUGGAAUGCGUAGAUAUUAGGAAGAACACCAAUAGGCGAAGGCAGCUAACUGGUCAUAUAUUGACACUAAUGGACGAAAGCGUGGGGAGCAAACAGGAUUAGAUACCCUGGUAGUCCACGCCGUAAACGAUGAUCAUUAGUUGGUGGCAAAAGUCACUAGCACAGCUAACGCGUUAAAUGAUCCGCCUGAGUAGUAUGCUCGCAAGAGUGAAACUUAAAGGAAUUGACGGGAACCCGCACAAGCGGUGGAGCAUGUGGUUUAAUUUGAAGAUACGCGUAGAACCUUACCCACUCUUGACAUCCUCGCAAAACUAUAGAGAUAUAGCGGAGGCUAACGAGAUGACAGAUGGUGCAUGGUUGUCGUCAGCUCGUGUCGUGAGAUGUUAGGUUAAGUCCUGCAACGAGCGCAACCCUUUUCUUUAGUUGCUAACAUUAAGUUGAGAACCCUAGAGAUACUGCCGGUGCAAACCGGAGGAAGGCGGGGAUGACGUCAAAUCAUCAUGCCUCUUACGAGUGGGGCAACACACGUGCUACAAUGGCUACUACAAAGAGCAGCGAAACAGUGAUGUCAAGCUAAUCUCAAAAAAGUAGUCUCAGUUCGGAUUGAAGUCUGCAACUCGACUUCAUGAAGUCGGAAUCGCUAGUAAUCGCAGGUCAGCUAUACUGCGGUGAAUACGUUCUCGGGUUUUGUACACACCGCCCGUCACACCAUGGGAGUUGGUAAUGCCCAAAGUCGGUGAGUUAACCUCGGAGACCAUUGCCUAAGGCAGGACCGAUGAUUGGGGUGAAGUCGUAACAAGGUAUCCCUACGAGAAC